CGCCUCCCCCCGCGCCCAGCUACUGCCGCCUCGCCUCUCUCUCCAUCCCGCCCUGCCUCUCUCUCUCUCUCUCCCUCCAAACCCUAACCCGCGCCCGCCUCCCUGCCCCGCCGCCGUCGCUCGCCCAGGCACCCAUCCACGACCUCACGCUGCCCCCUCCCGUCUCUCCCUCGCAUUGGCCGUCGUGCCCUCCCCUUCUCUGCGCUGCCUCGAAGAAGCACCUCGGUUGCUGCUGCUCCGCAUCACCGCUCCUCACCCACGCACCGCGACCGCCUCCUCCCCAGAAACCCUAGCAGCGGCCAGCUCGCCGCCCUCCGCCGUCGCGUCGUCGCGGGGUUCCUCGCGCAGGCGCAUGGCGCCAAGGCCGUGACCUCCUCUCGCGCCUCUGCUCCCCCGACGAGGCCGCCGCCUCAAUCCCCUGCCCAGCCCACUUCAUCACUGAGUCACCGCCGGGGACGCUGCACCGGCCGGUAGGAGGCCGGGCUCGCCGUGGAGCACGGGCUGCAGAAACUAUCGGGACCCCAAGGGUCAUAUUCUGAAUAAUAGUGCAAGGUACUUUGAGUUAAUGUUCUGCAAAUUAGUGCAUCUGGAACGCUAGGAUGUGUGGGAACACAAAGGAGUUGGUGUGUGCCUCCAUUGCGGCUUAGGAUGUUUAUGGCGGUCUUUCUUUUUUAUCUGAAUGGAGAGGGCCGCUGGUUCUUGAUCUUAAGGUUAACCAGUUUUUUUUUAUGUUGCGUGCUCAUGCUGCUCUAUGUUUUCUUUCUUGAUCUGAAUGGAGAGAGUGCCACUGGUUCUUGAUCUUAAGGUGACCCAAUUUUUUUAUGUUGCGUGCUCAUGCUGCUCUCUGUUUUCUUUUAAUGCUUCUUGCUUGCUAUUUUAUUGCUGUUAGGAAUGCAGUGUUAAUUUAGUUUCCUACUAUUUUGAUCUGUCAAGUAUAUUAAAAACUUUGUAAGUUCUAAUGUAUCAACAAGAAUCUGCGGAUGCUUCUUUUCUUCUUGGGUUCUUAAAAAAGCACAAAGGUGGUCCAUCUUCAACUGUAAUCUGUUCGAUGCUGUUUUUCUAAUUCCCUAGGAAAUUAUUAGUCAUUUUGGUGUUUGGAGGUACACUGUCAAGGCGACUAAUAAACUUUUUUCCUUUUACAAUGUACAAUGCAUAUAUAAGUUAAUAUUAUGUACUUUUGUAAAUGAAGUUACUAUAGUUGAGAGCAUGGAUAUGGCCCUUCCAAAGCUCUAUGCAGCAGAGAACGGCGGGCGCGGCGGAGUGGGACCGUGGGAGGACACGUCGGCCUGCUGCUACGAGUAAGAAAAAAAAUUCCAAUGGUCCAAAGGAUCAGCUCAGGGGACUCGAGGCAGGUCUGGCAGAAGCUCUGUGUCUCAACCCAACUAAAGAAAGGGUCAGAAAGUAAGCUCACCAGCGAGUCAAUUUCAAAUGCUACUACAACGAAACGAGCAGCUCAGGAGCUUGAUCUUUGAUCAGAGGUCUAGGACUAGGAGAGAUGAGUUUGCAGGUGUAAUAUCACAUCGCCUUUAAGGUGCCACAUUGUGCAGAACAAGGAGAGAUUGUCGAGGCGGAGCCGUGACGAUUGUGGAGGUCAUGAUCAUUAGUUCAUCAUCAUGAAGCAGAAGAAGUCGAUAUAGCUUUUGCCAUGGCGUGGUUCUCACCUGCUUUGCGAGUACUUAUUUUAUAUGCUGGGGCUUAAAAUUAGUUUUGUGGCAUCAUGGAUAAGGCAAAUAUGACAACUGUCUCUACUGUUCUGUUUUUUGGCCAAUUUCUUUUCCACUGGCCCAUUAUAACCUCUGUUAGAUAGUUUGCAACAUGCUCACAUGGUAAAGGUGUCCUAAACUGACGAUUCAUGUUUCUUGUGGAACGCCACCUAUCUAUUUUUCAUGUAGGAUUUUGGCUUAAAACUGGUUUUGUGGCAUCAUGAAUUUCAUUAUGUUCUGGAAGUCAAGGUUCUGGUCGAUUGAUUUAUGUCUUGAAUUUCCUUAUGUUUUCCUUUGUGGUCAUCUGUCCUGCGAGUUAUUGUACAUGCACCUCCAUUCUUAUGCUGAAGACAAAAUUUGUGAAUGAUUCUGUAGGAGUUCGGAGUACUAUGAGCAUUUCUGAAGGUUCACACCAUGGCGACUGCUGGAGCAAGCAUUCACCUCAAUGCAGGGGACAUCUGGUUGAUAACAAUCUUCUCCCGUUUAGUUAUCCUUUGCUGUUCCAUUUUUAAUCUCCUCCUGCUUGAAAGUUUUUUGUUCCUUUCGUUCUUCUUGCCGAGUACUUCAUGGCCUGGUUGUGUUUGACCCCUUCGUGGUGCUGACUGGUGUGCCACCCCGGUGAGAUCCAACAUGAAGAAUAGGAAGUAGAGAGGGAGGUGGGGAGGACUUGUGUAAAGAUGAUUAGGGGGUCAUGGAUUUGUGUACCUAGCUACCAUACCUAAUAUUGUGUCUGCUACACAUAUUUAUUUUUAUGGUUUGCUUCCUGGUGUUCUAAGAUUUCCUGCCAGCAAUACCUCCAUCAAACCUAGGAAGACAAUUUUUUAGUAAUGUAUUGCCUUUUGUGCCA